UACGUAGGGUGCAAGCGUUAAUCGGAAUUACUGGGCGUAAAGCGUGCGCAGGCGGUUUUGUAAGUCUGUUGUGAAAUCCCCGGGCUCAACCUGGGAAUGGCAAUGGAGACUGCAAGGCUAGAGUUUGGCAGAGGGGGGUAGAAUUCCACGUGUAGCAGUGAAAUGCGUAGAUAUGAUGGAGGAACACCGAUGGCGAAGGCAGCCCCCUGGGUCAAAACUGACGCUCAUGCACGAAAGCGUGGGGAGCAAACAGG
rnacentral:rRNA from 1 species